rnacentral:rRNA from 1 species
GCGGUAGCAGUCCUUCGGGAGCUGACGAGCGGCGGACGGGUGAGGAAUGCUUGGGAAUCUGCCCGAUAGAGGGGGAUAACUACGGGAAACUGUAGCUAAUACCGCAUGAUCUCUUAGGAGCAAAGCGGGGGACCUUCGGGCCUCGCGCUAUCGGAUGAGCCCAAGUGGGAUUAGCUAGUUGGUGGGGUAAAGGCUCACCAAGGCGACGAUCUCUAACUGGUCUGAGAGGAUGAUCAGUCACACUGGAACUGAGACACGGUCCAGACUCCUACGGGAGGCAGCAGUGGGGAAUAUUGGACAAUGGGGGCAACCCUGAUCCAGCCAUGCCGCGUGGGUGAAGAAGGCCUUCGGGUUGUAAAGCCCUUUUGGCGGGGAGGAAGGGUGUGAGGUGAAUAAUCUUGCACUUUGACGUUACCCGCAGAAUAAGCACCGGCAAACUCCGUGCCAGCAGCCGCGGUAAUACGGAGGGUGCGAGCGUUAAUCGGAAUUACUGGGCGUAAAGCGCAUGCAGGCGGUCUGUUAAGUCAGAUGUGAAAUCCCCGGGCUUAACCUGGGAACUGCAUUUGAAACUGGCAGACUGGAGUCCUGGAGAGGGGGGUAGAAUUUCCGGUGUAGCGGUGAAAUGCGUAGAUAUCGGAAGGAA